rnacentral:rRNA from 1 species
AUACGUUCCUCUGGGGGAGUCCCUGGGGGAGGAAAGCUCCGGCGCACGGGGAGGGGUUCGCGGCCUAUCAGCUAGUUGGCGGGGUAAUGGCCCACCAAGGCGACGACGGGUAGCUGGUCUGAGAGGAUGGCCAGCCACAUUGGGACUGAGAGACGGCCCAGACUCCUACGGGAGGCAGCAGUGGGGAAUCUUGCGCAAUGGCCGAAAGGCUGACGCAGCGACGCCGCGUGUGGGAUGAAGCAUUUCGGUGUGUAAACCACUGUUGCCCGGGACGAACAGCCUGUUUCGACAGGUCUGACGGUACCGGGUGAGGAAGCACCGGCUAACUCCGUGCCAGCAGCCGCGGUAAUACGGAGGGUGCGAGCGUUGUCCGGAAUCAUUGGGCGUAAAGGGCGCGUAGGUGGCCUGCUAAGCGUGCGGUGAAAGCUCGGGGCUCAACCCCGAGUCGGCCGUGCGAACUGGUGGGCUUGAGCACUGUAGAGGCAGGCGGAAUUCCGGGUGUAGCGGUGGAAUGCGUAGAGAUCCGGAAGAACACCGGUGGCGAAGGCGGCCUGCUGGGCAGUAGCUGACACUGAGGCGCGACAGCGUGGGGAGCAAACAGGAUUAGAUACCCUGGUAGUCCACGCCGUAAACGAUGGGCACUAGGCGCUUGGGGGAGCGACCCCCCGAGGGCCGGCGCUAACGCAUUAAGUGCCCCGCCUGGGGAGUACGACCGCAAGGUUGAAACUCAAAGG